AUACGGAGGGUGCAAGCGUUACUCGGAAUCACUGGGCGUAAAGCGCGCGCAGGCGGGCUGAUAAGUUGGAUGUGAAAGCCUACGGCUCAACCGUAGAACUGCAUCCAAAACUGUCGGUCUAGAGUCUGGGAGGGGAAGAUGGAAUUAGUUGUGUAGGGGUAAAAUCCGUAGAGAUAACUAGGAAUACCAAAAGCGAAGGCGAUCUUCUGGAACAGUACUGACGCUGAGGCGCGAAAGCGUGGGGAGCAAACAGGAUUAGAUACCCUAGUAGUCC
rnacentral:rRNA from 1 species